rnacentral:rRNA from 1 species
AAGUAUUAAAGGUAACGCCUGCCCAGUGAAACUUUUAACGGCCGCGGUAUCCUAACCGUGCAAAGGUAGCGUAAUCAUUUGUCCUCUAAAUAAGGACCAGUAUGAACGGCUAAAUGAGGGCUAACCUGUCUCCUUUGACCCAUCAGUGAAACUGAUCUACCAGUACAAAAGCUGGUAUAUCCCUAUAAGACGAGAAGACCCUGUGGAGCUUCAAAUUAAAAGUCAACGGCAACCUACCAACCCCCCACCCCCGUUAUUUGACCCUAAAUUUUUAGUUGGGGCGACUUCGGAACUAAACCAAACUUCCGAGCAAAUGACCUUAAAUCUAAAAAAGACCCACAAGUCUAAACCAAAUGACCCAGUAACACUGAUAAACGAACCAAGUUACCCCAGGGAUAACAGCGCAAUCUUCUUCAAGAGUCCAUAUCGACAAGAAGGUUUACGACCUCGAUGUUGGAUCAGGACACCCAAUUGGUGCAGCCGCUAUUAAAGGUUCGUUUGUUCAACGAUUAAUAGUCCUACGUGAUCUGAGUUCAGACCGGAGC